AGCGAACGCUGGCGGCAGGCCUAACACAUGCAAGUCGAACGGAUCCUUCGGGAUUAGUGGCGGACGGGUGAGUAACACGUGGGAACGUGCCCUUUGGUUCGGAACAACUCAGGGAAACUUGAGCUAAUACCGGAUGUGCCCUUCGGGGGAAAGAUUUAUCGCCAUUGGAGCGGCCCGCGUCUGAUUAGCUAGUUGGUGAGGUAAAGGCUCACCAAGGCGACGAUCAGUAGCUGGUCUGAGAGGAUGAUCAGCCACAUUGGGACUGAGACACGGCCCAAACUCCUACGGGAGGCAGCAGUGGGGAAUCUUGCGCAAUGGGCGAAAGCCUGACGCAGCCAUGCCGCGUGAAUGAUGAAGGUCUUAGGAUUGUAAAAUUCUUUCACCGGGGACGAUAAUGACGGUACCUGGAGAAAAAGCCCCGGCUAACUUCGUGCCAGCCGCCGCAGUAAUAC
rnacentral:rRNA from 1 species